UGCCAGCCGCCGCGGUAAUACGGAGGGGGUUAGCGUUGUUCGGAAUUACUGGGCGUAAAGCGCGCGUAGGCGGAUUAGUAAGUUAGGGGUGAAAGCCCGAGGCUUAACUUCGGAAGUGCAUUUGAAACUGUUAAGCUAGAGUACAGUAGAGGUUGGUGGAAUUCCCAGUGUAGAGGUGAAAUUCGUAGAUAUUGGGAAGAACACCAGUGGCGAAGGCGGCUAACUGGCUCGGUACUGACGCUGAGAUGCGAAAGCGUGGGGAGCAAACAGGAUUAGAUA
rnacentral:rRNA from 1 species